rnacentral:rRNA from 1 species
AGAGUUUGAUCCUGGCUCAGGAUGAACGCUAGCGGCAGGCUUAAUACAUGCAAGUCGAGGGGCAUCAGGGUGUAGCAAUACACUGCUGGCGACCGGCAAACGGGUGCGGAACACGUACACAACCUUCCUUUGAGUGGGGGAUAGCCCAGAGAAAUUUGGAUUAAUACCCCGUAAAAUUAUGAGAUGGCAUCAUUUUAUAAUUAAAGCUCCGGCGCUUGGAGAUGGGUGUGCGGCUGAUUAGGUAGUUGGUGAGGGUAACGGCCCACCAAGCCAACGAUCAGUAACUGGUGUGAGAGCACGACCAGUCACACGGGCACUGAGACACGGGCCCGACUCCUACGGGAGGCAGCAGUAAGGAAUAUUGGUCAAUGGACGCAAGUCUGAACCAGCCAUGCCGCGUGGAGGAUGAAGGUCCUCUGGAUUGUAAACUUCUUUUAUCUGGGAAGAAAUGCAUUUUUUCUAAAGUGUUUGACGGUACCAGAUGAAUAAGCACCGGCUAACUCCGUGCCAGCAGCCGCGGUAAUACGGAGGGUGCAAGCGUUAUCCGGA